GACGAACGCUGGCGGCGUGCUUAACACAUGCAAGUCGUACGGUAAGGCCCUUUCGGGGGUACACGAGUGGCGAACGGGUGAGUAACACGUGAGUAACCUGCCCACAACUUUGGGAUAACGCUAGGAAACUGGUGCUAAUACUGGAUAUGUGCUCCUGCUGCAUGGUGGGGGGUGGAAAGCUCCGGCGGUUGUGGAUGGACUCGCGGCCUAUCAGCUUGUUGGUGGGGUAGUGGCCUACCAAGGCGGCGACGGGUAGCCGGCCUGAGAGGGUGACCGGCCACAUUGGGACUGAGAUACGGCCCAGACUCCUACGGGAGGCAGCAGUGGGGAAUAUUGCACAAUGGGCGCAAGCCUGAUGCAGCAACGCCGCGUGCGGGAUGACGGCCUUCGGGUUGUAAACCGCUUUCAGCAGGGACGAAGCUUUUUGUGACGGUACCUGCAGAAGAAGCACCGGCUAACUACGUG
rnacentral:rRNA from 1 species